rnacentral:rRNA from 1 species
CCUACGGGUGGCAGCAGUGGGGAAUAUUGCUCAAUGGGGGAAAGCCUGACGCAGCGACGCCGCGUGGGGGAUGAAGGUUUUCGGAUUGUAAACCCCUUUUGGUAGAGAAGAUAAUGACGGUAUCUAACGAGUAAGCACCGGCUAACUCCGUGCCAGCAGCCGCGGUAAUACGGAGGGUGCAAGCGUUACGCGGAAUGACUGGGCGUAAAGAGCGCGUAGGCGGGAUAGCAAGUCAGAUGUGAAAUCCUAGGGCUUAACCAUAGAACUGCAUUUGAAACUGGUAGUCUAGAGUAUGGGAGAGGUAGGUGGAAUUCUUGGUGUAGGGGUAAAAUCCGUAGAGAUCAAGAGGAAUACUCAUGGCGAAGGCGACCUGCUAGAACAUAACUGACGCUGAGGCGCGAAAGCGUGGGUAGCAAACAGGAUUAGAUACCCCUGUAGUC